AUUGAACGCUGGCGGAAUGCUUUACACAUGCAAGUCGAACGGCAGCACGGGUGCUUGCACCUGGUGGCGAGUGGCGAUCGGGUGAGUAAUACAUCGGAACGUACCCAGUCGUGGGGGAUAACGUAGCGAAAGUUACGCUAAUACCGCAUACGUCCUGAGGGAGAAAGCGGGGGACCGUAAGGCCUCGCGCGAUUGGAGCGGCCGAUGGCGGAUUAGCUAGUUGGUGGGGUAAAGGCCUACCAAGGCGACGAUCCGUAGCGGGUCUGAGAGGACGGCCCGCCACACUGGAACUGAGACACGGUCCAGGCUCCUACGGGAGGCAGCAGUGGGGAAUUUUGGACAUGGGCGAAAGCCUGAUCCAGCCAUUCCGCGUGAGCGAAGAAGGCCUUCGGGUUGUAAAGCUCUUUCGGCAGGGAAGAAACGGCUUGGGAUAAUACCCCGGGCUAAUGACGGUACCUGAAGAAGAAGCACCGGCUAACUACGUGCCAGCCGCCGCGGUAA
rnacentral:rRNA from 1 species